CUCCCGACUAGAUUUUAUUGCUAUGGUCAUUGUGAAAGAGGCUGUAACUUUUAUCUACAAAAUGGGAUCUGAUCAUUAUCUCACAGGUAAUAAAUUUUGAUUCAUUUGGGCACAAUAUUUUAAUUCUAGGUUUGGGUGCAUGGUAUGUAGAUGCUCCUCUAAAAACUCACUCAAAUUCCUUGAGAAAGUCAAUAUUGUCUACAAAAACCGUCUUCCAACCAUCAGGAUCUAAGCAUGCAGUUAUCUUGGUGUUGAUGCCAGGUAAUGGUCCUGGUUCCCGGGUGAUUUUCCCACCAAACAGUUUGAUUGCUUCUGCAGUUUUAUAGACAUCAUCCGUGCCUAUUGCAAUCUGAGCAUAAGCAUUUCCUUUGUCAUAUUCAGUGACCCC
rnacentral:misc_RNA from 1 species